rnacentral:rRNA from 1 species
AUGACUCGCGCAACAGAGAAGGGUGGGGCGCGCGCAUCAAGCGCAGCCUCUCCAGGCAACCGCGAGACGCCUCACGCGAUCAUGGCCGCGACAUCGGGCGCGACGGCCGCCGUGAUGAUGCUGGUCGCGAUCGCGGCGGCCGCCGUCGUGAUGUUGGCGUGCCUGCUGUAUUGCUGGGCUCCGGAUCCUCAAGCGUGGCGACGGGCCGUGCCUCCGAGAUGCAGCCUCUGCAAGCCGUGCCACUGGAGGUUGGGCGAGGCCGCAGCAUCGCAAGGCAUCCCUCGCCACGUGCUGCCCGGCGUCGCUCUCAAGAAGCCCUCACGCCGCCUGCCUAGCCACCGCUGUCACCAACCUCCGUUUUGCCGCCGUCGCCCAAGUCCAAGAGGAAUGAAGUUCAGCCGGCCACGCUGUUGCCAGAGGAUCCAAGUGGGGCGCUGCUACAGCUCUGCGCGCCCACGACGAUGCUACUGCCUGUGCCGUCCCCGUCCAGGCCCCCUGGGUUCAAGGCCUCGCCAACGCCGCCACUGUUGUCCAGCGGGCUGGUGCGUUGCACCCCUUCGCCCGUGCGGCGCCGUAGGGCCGAUGCUUCUGGUGCUGUUGGCCUGCAGUGCCUUGCGCCGUUGUUUGAAGAUCGGCAGGAGGCCAUCCUGCCCACCCUGGCUCCAACACCACCUCGGGCUCCUACGGCGCGCCGUAAAGCAAUGGUCGGAGUCUCCAUCUCCAGGGUCAGCGGCACCUUCUCGCUGCACAAGACAAAGACGGCAAGCCGCCCCAAGGCCACGCCCAUGA